rfam:Triticum aestivum genome assembly, contig: Triticum_aestivum_CS42_TGACv1_scaffold_146650_2BS
AUUGUACUCCCUCCGUCUGGAAAUACUUCUCAAAAUGGAUAAAAGGAGAUGUAUCUAGACGUAUUUUAGUUCUAGAUACAUCUCUUUUUAUCCAUUUUGAUGACAAGUAUUUUCGGACGGAGGGAGUAUAAU